UGGGGAAUCUUGCACAAUGGGGGAAACCCUGAUGCAGCGACGCCGCGUGAGCGAAGAAGUAUUUCGGUAUGUAAAGCUCUAUCAGCAGGGAAUAAAAAAGAAGGUACCUGACGAAGAAGCCCCGGCUAACUACGUGCCAGCAGCCGCGGUAAUACGUAGGGGGCAAGCGUUAUCCGGAUUUACUGGGUGUAAAGGGAGCGUAGACGGUGCGUUAAGUCAGAAGUGAAAGCCCAUUGCUCAACGAUGGAGCUGCUUUUGAAACUAACGAACUAGAGUACAGGAGAGGUAAGUGGAAUUCCUAGUGUAGCGGUGAAAUGCGUAGAGAUUAGGAGGAACACCAGUGGCGAAGGCGGCUUACUGGACUGAAACUGACGUUGAGGCUCGAAAGCGUGGGGAGCAAACAGG
rnacentral:rRNA from 1 species